rnacentral:ncRNA from 1 species
AAUAGAAUAUAAUGUCGAUAUAUUUCAGAUAAUGCGGUUUUGAAGUUUCUACCCGACCUCCGUAAAUGGUCGGACUAUCGGCGAAUA